CACUAAGAAGCUAACUAACAGCACUAGCCUUUUAAGCUAGAGAGGGAAACAACUUCCCUUAGUGA
rnacentral:tRNA from 1 species